rnacentral:lncRNA from 10 species
AUUAUAUCUUCUUCAUGUAUUGACCCCUUUAUCCUCCUCUAAUUAUCCUCUUUACAUCUUAUAAUAGGUUUUAUAAAGUCUACUUUUUUUCUUAUAUAAGUAUGAACAUUCCUACUUUCCUUUAGUUUUCAUUUUCACAGAAUAUAGGUUUUCAUUCCUUUAAGUUCAGCCUAUAUAUAUCCUUAAAGCUAAAUGAGCCUGUUUUAGGCAGCAUACAGUUGGAUCUUAGUUUUUUAAUGCAUUCAACCACUCUAUAUCUUCUGAUUGCAGAAUUUAGUACGUUUACAUUUAAAAUAACUAUUGAUGUGUAAGACCUACUAUUGUUAAUUUGUUUAUUGCUUUCUGUCUGUUUUCUUUUUUUUGCAUUUUGAUGAUUUUUCUAUAAUGGUAUACUUUAAUUCCUUUCUCUUUAUCUUUUGUGUAUCAACUAUAGGUUUUGCUCUUUGGUUACCAUGGGGCUUACAUAAAAUAUCUUAUAGUAAUAGUAGUCUAUUUAAGCUGGUAACAUCUUAAGUAUGAUAGCAUACAAAAACUGCAAAUUUGCUCUCUCACACACAUUUUAUGUCAGUUUCAUGAUUUAUGUAUUUUAUAUUAUGUAUAAAUUAACAAAUUAUUGUAGCUAUAGUUAUUUUUAAUACUUUUGUCUAACCUUUAUACUAGAGUUAAAAGUGAUUUAUACACCACAAUUAUAGUAUUAGAGUAUUCUUAGUUUGACUAUGUAUUUACCUUUACCAGUGAGUUUUAUAUUUUCGUAUGUUUUCAUGUUACUAGUUAGCAUCUUCUUAUUUUAGCUUAAAUAACUCCCUUCAGAAUUUUUUAUAAGACAAAUCUAAUAAUGAUGAAUUAUCUUAGCUUUUGUUUGUCCAGGAAAAUCUUUACUCUCCUUCAUCGCUGAAGGACAACUUACCAAGUAAACUAUUCUUGGUUGGCAAGCUUUUUCCUUUAGCACUUUGAGUAUAUCAUCCUCAUCUUUCUUGACCUGCAAAGUAUCUGCUGAGAAAUCUGUGAUAUUCUGAUGUGGAUUUCCUUAUUUGUGAUGCUCUUUACUCUUAUUGAUUUAAAAAUUCUCGAUUUGCCUUUUAUUUUUAACUGAUUAUAACAUAUCUCAAGAAAGUCUUCUUUGGGUUUUAUCUUAUUGGAGACCUGUGAGCUUCAUAUUUCUGGAUAUCUGUAUCUCUCUCAAGAUUUGAUAAAUUUUUAGCCAUUGUUUCCUCAAAUGGGUCUUAUUUUUUUUUUCCUCCCUCUUCUGCCUCUGAGGCUAUUCUAAUGUGAAAGUUCUCUUGACAAUGUCUUAAAAUUCUCAUAGACUUUAUUCAUUAUCAUUAUUUAUUUUUCUUCUAUGAUUAGGCAAUUUCAAAUAAGUUGUGUUCGAUUUCACAAAUUAUUUCUUCUGCUUGAUCAAAACUGCUUUGAAGCUCUCUGUUGAAUUUUUCAUUUUAUUCAUUGUAUUAUUGUGCUUCAGAAUGUUUGUUUCUAUUUUAUGAUUUUUAUUUUUUUUGGUUGAAUUUCUAUUUUUGUUCAUGUAUUGUUUUCCUGACCCAAGUUGUCUAUCUACUUUUUCUUGUAGCCUGCUAAGAUUCCUUAACAUAAUUAUUUUGAAUUAUUUGUCAGGCAAUUAACAGAUAUUCUUUCUGUGGGUAGGUUGCUGGAAAGUUAUUGUGUUCCUUUGGUGAUGUUAUGUUUCCUUGUUUUCUUAUGUGUUUGUCGGUUCCUUGUAUUGUUGUCAUCACAUUUGAAGAAGCAAUCACUUCCUCCAGUCUUUACUCACUGACUUAAGGAAAGAAACACUUUUACCAGUCAAGCUCGUUAGAAAUUGAGAGGUCCCUUCAAACCUUUUCUAUGGAUGUGCCCAUUCCACCCUUAUUCUUGCCUCAUGGGGCCAGGGGGAAUUCUCAGGAUAAUUUUCUCAAUUCCACAAAGCCAGGCUGGGUGCUAAAAGUCUCCUGUUUGUUGUCUCUAGAGUGGUGCCCUGAAAUACUGAAGUUUGUGUGCCUUCUCCCAAACACGCAGAGUACAGUGUCUGUCUGUACUCACAAGUGAUCUUCAAAUGCUCACAAUUAUCAUCUGGGAAACGCAUGCUGAGAGUUGGCUAUGGGGUACAAGUACAGGUAUGGUGGAAAAUUCCUGGUAUCCUUUUCGGAUUCCCACACUAAAUGAAUGCAGCAAAUUCCCUCUGUUCUGCCUUAUCAGAGGCUCAAGGCCAGCCCCGCUGCAUGAAAGUGCAACCCAGAAGUUCAAGGAGUUAACAAAUAGGAAAUGAAUGUUUGUGGAUAACUAUUUCAUCCUUCUCUUUCUGAUGGAAAAAAUUUGAGGGUCUACUUAUUGUUAACUAUUGUAACCCGAUCAUUAUUAUACUUUGGUGGGCUUUUCUUACCUUGUUCUCAAAUUCUUAAUUUUCUUACUUCUGAUUUCUUGGAUGACCUGCCAAAUAAACAAUAACAUCUAAGUCAUUGACUCAUGGUGUGUUUUCAAAGAAAUCCAUCCUAAGAGCUAUGAAAUCCUAUAUCAUCAUAUUUGUAUUAUUACCACUUGAUAUACUGUAAUUUUUUAACGAAAGCAAAAAAAGUACUAAAACUGGCUUACUCUAAAGGCAUUUAAGUUGAUUUUAUAUAUUUUCAUUAAGCUGUUAUAUGCUAAAAUUUACUUUUUCAAUAUAUAUUUUCUUCCUGAAUGGACUGUAUCUUUAUAUUUAUCUCUUUUAAAUAUAUCAUAUUUGCAUGCAGUCUAUACCAUCCCUUAAUAUAUCAAGAUAUUUUAAGGCAUCCUUUUGCUAUCAAACAUAUUACCUAUCAUUCUACUUUGGUGUACACCUCAGAUGAUCUAAACACUGCUAUUAUGGUUGUACCAAGUGACUGAAUAAUACAUUGAAUAAAAACAGCCAAGGGCAGAAAAUAUUUUUGUUCUUCAGCUAUGAUUUUUCUAAUUUUAAUCCACUUAAUGUUUUUCUGUAGCAAUACAUUAUCUUGUUGGUUUCUUAUUAUAAUUAUAUGACAUAUCAUAUCUUCAUUUUAGAGAUCAGUGGUUCUUAGAUAAUCUAACUUUAAUUAACUGCAUAUCCAAACCUAUAUACUAAUAUAUAGCGUAACUGAGACUUGUUUUCAGAUCUUUCUGGCUCCCAAAACAGUGCUCUUAAAAUGCACUUUUAUUAGAACACUAAAAUGCUCAGAAUUAUAUCUUUAUUCCAAAUAAUUAGUUUUUUAACCGUUGUUUAAUUUUUUUACUCUACUGAAAUGCGAACUAUUUCUGGAACACUUACCAAAACAUCCACUUAAAAGCGGGGGGAUAUCACAAGGUAAUAUCUUUCAACUUAAAGAUUUCAUGUUAAAGGUUCUCUUUUUAAAAACAUACACAACUUCUGCACUUGCAUCCACAGAAAAAAAAUGACUUUUGGAAAUAAAUUUUAAAAGAAGUUCUUGUUUAAAAAUGCAAUUGUUUCACUAGUUGUUUGGGUAUAAUAAAGAAUGGUAAUUUAUUAUAUUCCCUACUCUACCGACACCACUACUUAAAAGAGUGAAAAUAUCUGCUAAUUUCUUCUCUCAAAUUAUUCUUAUAUCUGAGAAUUACUCUGGUGACCCUUAGUCUCUCAGCCUAGUAGCAUUAUUUUAAUGAUACAUUAUACAAAGUUAGGAUUUUAACUGGAAGUGUGCUUAACAUUUUUCAGUGGCCAUUGAGAUUUAUUUAAAAGUGGAUUAUCAGGGCUAACAUUUAAAAAAUGUUACUGUGUUGUGAGGAAGCCAG